rnacentral:rRNA from 1 species
CUACGGGAUGCUGCAGUGGGGAAUAUUGCACAAUGGAGGAAACUCUGAUGCAGCAACGCCGCGUGGAGGAUGACGCAUUUCGGUGUGUAAACUCCUUUUAUAUGUCAAGAAAAUGACGGUAGCAUAUGAAUAAGCACCGGCUAACUCCGUGCCGGCAGCCGCGGUAAUACGGAGGGUGCAAGCGUUACUCGGAAUCACUGGGCGUAAAGGACGCGUAGGCGGGUUGGAAAGUCAGGUGUGAAAUCCUACAGCUUAACUGUAGAACUGCACUUGAAACUUCUAAUCUAGAGUAUGGGAGGGGGAGAUGGAAUUAGUGGUGUAGGGGUAAAAUCCGUAGAUAUCACUAGGAAUACCUAAAGCGAAGGCGAUCUCCUGGAACAUUACUGACGCUAAGGCGUGAAAGCGUGGGGAGCAAACAGGAUUAGAUACCCGAGUAGUC